rnacentral:rRNA from 1 species
UACCGGCAGCACGAGUGAUGGCCGAUCUUAUUGGGCCUAAAGCGUCCGUAGCCGGCCGGACAAGUCCGUUGGGAAAUCCACGUGCCCAACACGUGGGCGUCCAGCGGAAACUGUCCGGCUUGGGGCCGGAAGACUCGAGGGGUACGUCCGGGGUAGGAGUGAAAUCCCGUAAUCCUGGACGGACCACCGGUGGCGAAAGCGCCUCGAGAAGACGGACCCGACGGUCAGGGACGAAAGCUAGGGUCUCGAACCGG